rnacentral:tRNA from 1 species
AGCUCAGUGGUAGAGCACUGGUCUUGUAACCAGGGGUCGUGCGUUCAAAUCUCACUGGUGGCU